CUCUGAUAGCGACCAACAAGGGGAACACAAUUUCAAUCACCUCUCCCCUUGACGUCCCGCCAUUCCUAGACUGGACUUUGCCCCAGCCAAACCAAGACCCCACAAACCUCCCGCAACGCCAACACUGGCUUACACCAGCAAAUAAGAGAAGAAACGAACAACGGUUCCUAUCACCCCAACAAAGACAAAGAGGCACCCAGGAAGAAAACUACAGACAACGAUCUGACCACUAAGCAUGAGGGGAACCUCUAGAGGAUAUUAGUCCUACCAUCCUUGAUAAAACAUAUCCUGGAUAACCCUAUUAUAUCCCACCUUAAUGAUAGGACCCAUUUAAUCCUACGGAGAUCUCUAUAUCAAACUGACUUUCCACACACAAUGUUGCAUUGUCGCUUAGACGGAACUAACCAAUUUAACUACCAACGGCCACUAACUGCACCACACCACUCAUU